UCGCCGCGAAUCGAGCUAAAAAGCAACAUUCACAUUGCAACAACAGUAGAUCUUCUUGGACAGCAGCGUCGUUUCAACACGAUGAAGAUUUUUACUGUUAUUUUUGCAAUUCUUGCUGCGUUUUUGCUCCUCUUGGCUGAAAGCUGUGGCGAAACUAGUUUGACGAAUACGACUGAACCUCAAGACAGUACAGCUGGUGGAUACUCUAUAAUUAUAAAUAUUCAAAAGCCUCGACGUCGACAUGAACGUUUUAGAAGCAAAGAACCACAACCUCGAGAAGAACCUCAACCUCAAAAAGUGGACAACAAAAAUAAGGCAAAUCAUUCAAUGAGUGCAUGAGAGGAAGAGAAAAUAGCCGGCGUCUUCGUCUUGAAUACCUAUCGUUAUCAUCUAUCAAUAGUUUUUAAAUUUUAAUUAAAUAAUGUGUGUGAAAUAUUAAAUAAAUGUAAUCAAGUUUUAGUUAUUUUGAA